rnacentral:rRNA from 1 species
GGGGGCCCGCAAGCGGUGGAGCAUGUGGUUCAAUUCGACGCAACGCGAAGAACCUUACCUGGGCUCGAAAUGUAGUGGACCGGGGUGGAAACAUCCCUUUUCGCAAGAACCGCUAUAUAGGUGCUGCAUGGCUGUCGUCAGCUCGUGUCGUGAGAUGUUGGGUUAAGUCCCGCAACGAGCGCAACCCUUAUCUUCAGUUGCUACCAUUUAGUUGAGCACUCUGACGAAACCGCCUCGGAUAACGGGGAGGAAGGUGGGGAUGACGUCAAGUCCUCAUGGCCUUUAUGUCCAGGGCUACACACGUGCUACAAUGGCCGGUACAAACCGCUGCAAACCCGCGAGGGGGAGCUAAUUGGAAAAAGCCGGCCUCAGUUCGGAUUGGAGUCUGCAACUCGACUCCAUGAAGCUGGAAUCGCUAGUAAUCGUGGAUCAGCAUGCCACGGUGAAUACGUUCCCGGGCCUUGUACACACC